AGUCAGCAGCAGUCAGAAACUGGUCCAGACAUAUACAUGCAACAGUAUCCAGGUUUCUUUCGGAGUACUCCAGCUAGCAUAAUCUAGAGUUUCAAAACUGUAACGGAUGGAUUUGUCACUCAAACUGGACUUCUUGAAUUGUACCUGAAACCCACCAACGCAACCCCUUGUAUUUGGUCUGAAAGCCUGCUCCCAGUCUCCCAGUUACUCAGUUUGAGUUUCUGCUUUGAGCUAAAUGCUAACAUCAGCAUGCUAACAUGUUCACAAUAGCUAGGUCUCCAUCCAAGUGUAGAGUAGAUUAUGAGAAUAUUUUCAGAAAACUGCUAAAAGAAAAUGUAUGUAACUUCACAUCCAGGUCUGAGCGUAACUCCACCCACUGCAUAAUUUUGAAAAUUGCUAAAAAGUGGGCAACCUGUCUGUAACUUGGUUUAUUUUCACAUGAAGACAAUUUUAGCAACUUUAGACCUACUAGAGGACAUCUCUCCAUCUGUGACUGUUGGCGGAAGGAAGCCGACAGGUUCAGUAACAGUGGAUCUCCGAUUGCACUGUGAUUUACCGUUUUAAAACAAGAAUUUACCAGCUGAUAACUGCAGAAACAGACAGACGGAGGGUUAAAGAGCUACUGGAUGAAAUGCGAAGAGGAUUUCUGUUGUUUUUGUGGCUGCCAGCAGUGUUUCCUCCCACAGACAGUCACAGAUGGAGAGAUUUCCUCCAGCAGGUCAGUGCUACUGUUAGCUGCUAUUAGCUCCUGAAACUAAAACUGUCUUGAUUAGCAUAUAUUUGAAAAUGAGCGCAGUUCUCGGGGAGGUAGGCGUUAACAUUCUACCAUUUAUAUAAAGUUCAUGACGUAGAGAACUCCGAAACAGCCGACUCUACAUGGCAGGGCCAAUGCUGACAGCAAAUGACGGGUUGAAACACUUUCAACAUUGAUGUGUUUCAUCACAGUACAGUCAUAUAAUUUAGUUUAAAGUUCAUUUAACACAUUUAAGUGUGCAGUGCCUCUUUAAACUAUUGCAGAGGAAGAAGGCGCAAGAUGACAUAAUUAAAAGAGCAGCAGUCAAACCUAAAAUGGUGAAAAACUGUAGAAAAGAUAAUAUGACAUUUAUUUAUCCACACAGAUGUGAUGUUUUUGUUGGUCGCUAUUUGUCAUCUCUUCAGUGGUGCAGAAACUUCAGUGGUUGUUUAAAUCCAUCGAUAUGGGCUAUAUGCCACAUUCAGGCUUGUGAGAUGGGUCUCUGCCGCUGCCAUCUUGCUCAGGGGUUCUGACUGGUUCUGACUGACCCGUUUCUGGGUUAUAUACCCAUUUCAUAGAAAUGUCAGACUUUUGUGCUGGUUUGGAUGUUCCAAAGAAAGAAAUGCCAAAACUAAGCAACGGGGAAUACAAUUUCACAGAUUCCCAAAAGAUAAAGUAAAAAGACAGGUAUGGACAGCAGCACUGAGGAGAAGAGACUUUGAGCCAAAUGACUGUUCAAGCGUCUGCAGCUGUCAUUUCAAGUUAGAAGACUUUGACAGGACUGGACAGACAGCUCGUUUAAAGGAAUGAGUGAUCCCGUCAGUUUAUACAUUUCCUGACCAUAUUUGCAAAGUGCCCAGUACAUCCAGGUCAAGCAGGACGUCUCAAAAAGCAAAAAAGAGAGCAGCUGCAGAAUGUCUGGAUGGUCAUGUUGAGCUCUCAGAGGACCUGGAGGAGUCAACCUCACAAAGCAUCUCUCACUCCAAGACAGUCAGCCCCAACCCAUUUGAACUCUUUAAGCCACACCAUGCCUGAGCACUCAAAGGGAAUUUGCUUUAACGCUGCAUUUGCAUGGACCUAAAGCCUCCAGCUACUUGAGAAUCAAUCAAGAUACCACUCCCACAUCCUCACACUCUUCAAAAGUGGUUGCAGAGUGUGGAUGCCAAGCCUGGAUUAAACACAUAACUUUUAGAUAUGCUACAACAAUGAAAAACUGAAGAUCUGGCAAGAUUCGGUCAAGUGUGUCUUAUGGUGGAUGCCAUGGCCAUCAGGAGGCAGGGAUCAGUAUGACUCUCACACACAAACAAUGACAGGCUUUGUGGAUCUUGGAGACGGCAUUGAUGUGACCAGUGUGGCAAGUGAAGCAUUUGUGUUUAUAGUUGUUGGACUGCAAGGCCACUGGAAGACACCCAUUGCCUACUUCUUUAUCAAGACAUUGAUACAAGACACCCAAAAGGUUGAACUGCAGCAUGCCUCUGAGGCACUACAUGAGCGAGGCAUUAAAGUACUGUGUACAACAAUGGAUGGACAUUUUUCCAACAUCAGCAUGUACACUAUGCUUCAAUGCCAGCUCAAACUGAAUCCUUUGAAGCCUCUCCAGACAUAUUUUGCCCACCAAUCUACAGGGGAAAAAGUGGUUGUGAUGAUGGACCCAUGUCACAUGUUGAAAUUGGCUAGGAACAUGUUACAGGCAUACAGCCAUCAUCAGUCCCUCUGGGAUAGUGAGAUGGAGCUACAUAUCAGAGCUGAAUGAUGAAGAGGAAGAAGACGGUCUGCAUGCUGCCAACAGUAUCAUAAGAAAGCACAUAAACUUCAGCACUCAGAAGAUGGAGGUGUCCCUGGCAGCGCAGACAGUAAGCCGGUCUGUGGGAAAGUCUCUGCACGUGCUUGAGCAAGCUGGGUAAACACAGCUCAAGAAUUGUUCUCCAACAGCUGAAUUUAUUGAGGUGAUCCUUGAAAAGUUCAUUGGUACUUCUACUUUUAAGUAUUGUGUAAAUGUAAUGUAUAAGGAUAUAAAGCUGCAACAGUUAGUGGAUUAAUUGAUUAGUCGAUCGACAGAAAAUUAAUCUGCAACAAUUUUGAUAAUCAAUUUAUCUUUUAAGUCGGUUAUCAAGCACUAAUGAUAAACAUUUUCUGUUCCCUGCUUCUCAAAAUGUGGGAAUUUGCUGCUUUUCUUUAUCUUAUAUCAUUAUAAAUUGAGUAUCUUUAGGUUUUGGACCAUUGGUCGCACAAAAUAACAUCUUAGUCACUUGUGAAUUAAGAUGAGCAUUUUUCACUAUUUCCUGACAUUUUUGGACUAAUUAAUUAAUUGUUAAAAUUUAGCUCUAUUAUGAAACCUGUGUGAGUGAUUUUAGCCCAUAAACAAAAUAAUUCUCUCUAAAAUGCUUGAUUGGCAUUUAAUAUACAUGGAUUGUUGAAGCUUUGCAGCUGUAUUACAGUGUGUGUAUAAUUUCAAUAUUUACCAGCCAUAAGGAAUAUUUCUUUUAGGUGACUGACAGAUUGUUUGAUGUGAUGAAACAGCAGAGAUCCAUGUGCCAAAGGCUUUAAGACUCCACUAGAGAAGAGACAUUAGAGUUGAUGACUGAAGCUUUACUUGACUAUGUUGACAAUAAAUGAUGGCACUCCACUUUAUCGCCCAAAGAGGUGUUUGUUUUUUUUCAUAAGUAAAGUAAAUGCCACCAUUAGGCCUGUCAGAAUCUUUAUAUAUUGCAAAGAUUUUCCUAAAUAGUAGCACUAGUUGGUGCCAGGGAAAAUAUUUGCAGUGUUGAUCUUAGAUGUUGGUGAAUGUUUCAUUUCUUAAUAUCAAUCUCAACAGCUGGAGUAAAAUAAAUGGAGCAUACCUUGGAUUAUUAGAAUUGGCUUAUCAGAGAUGUUUGCCUUCACUAACAUUUUAAGAGUAAGUUUUCCUUUUGCAGGGCCUUCAAAAAUGGAACAAACAAUAACCAGAAGAAUGUAAUAAUAAUAUAACCAUACUGAAGCUAACUCUAGAUUGUUUACUUUCAUUGACCUAAAGCCAUUGCUUCAGAAAGAUUUACUCUUUGAAACUUUUGUGGUGUUUAGUUCUAUGUUCAUUUGAUUUUCUUUGAUGUGUUCAAAAAACAUCUGCUUGCUGUUCCAGUGUGGUGCUCUUUUGGUACCUUUAUCCAUUUGAUUACUUGAAAAAUGUUGGGAACUUCGUAUCAGAAGAAGAAAGUUUGGGUAAUGUGUUAAGAUUUGUAAAAAGCAACAUCAUUACUACAUUAGGAUAUCUCUAGUUGAGUAUUUGCAUGUGCUGUUUUUUCGUAAUUACUACAAAAGUAGUUCUCAGUUGGGUUCAGUUUCCUCUAUUUUCCAUGUGUGUUCUUGUUAGAAUCAUAUAAUAAUAUGUACUUUAAAAUUGUUAAAUAUCUUAAGACUGAGUUUAUGGUUUUAUACAGUAAGUAUUUGCAUACUGAUGUUUUUCUAUAUUUCAAAGAUAUCCGUCUGUGACUAGUUUUGUUAUCAACAUUGACCCUGAUGAUAGCAGAGCUGCUUCAGUCACAGCAGUAUGUGUGCACAUAAAGCUUCAGCCAGGACCAUUUGGAGCUCCUCUUUAAUUCCAUCAGGGCCUCAGGUGGAUGGAACGACAACCCAAGUGUGGUUCACUUUCAGAGUAUUUUCCACAGUCUCAUGGUCUGCCACUAAUUUUUCCAGGAAACACAGGCAACAUCAGAGCACAGGAUGACACUCUGUCUCUGGCAGCUGUCAACAUGUCAUCUGUAGCGCCAGCUGAGGACUCUGACAUUGCAUCCUCUCCAUCCGAGAAUGUCGCUAGUGUGGUGUUGGACCACAGCUACCUGCCAGCUAGCUUUGACUGCCUAAUCGAGAAUGCUCUGGUUUACAUUGCAGAUUUUGUUGUCAGGCAGGAUCAGGCAUGAAGCAGCUUUGUGAUGUAUGCUGUAACAGUUUGGUUUGUAAGGCUGUACCAGCAUCAUUUUGUGAUGGCUAUCACCUGCUAACCUUGAAAAACAAUGCAGGUCUGAUGAUAGGUAAAGUCAAGGUACUGCUCAGCAGAGCACUGCAUCCGACGGGCCACAAACAUUUCAUCUGCAGCACAUCAAUACACUGUCUCUGGUCAACCGUGUUGUCAUAGCAAACAUAGGUUUUGAAGAUGUGUUUGAUCUUUGUGACCAUAUUGACCAUACACUUUGGCCUCAUAUCUUUAAUCUAGAGCAGCUUUCAUAAGUUGAGGCAAUAUGUAACAAAAAUUCACACUCUACAAUUGCAGAGUGGCAGCUUGAGGAAGAAGCUGUGUAAAGUAAUGUUGUUACAGGGUUGUUAGAGAAGAACUUCUCUGUUGUGACAUUAUGAGUGAACAUGUAAAUCCUGAAGUGAAUGUGUAGCUUUAGUUUGCUGCUGAUACACUGUAAAUUAGCAUUUAUUGUUUCUGUGUGACUUAAAAUGUAAAUUAGGAUUUAUUGUUUCUGCUGAUACACUGUAUAUAUUUGUAUAUUUAUGAGAUUAAAGCUAAGUUUGUAUUGUUCAUCUCUCUUGUGUGAACAUGCAGCCCUAGGUCAUUUAUUUUCACUUGUACAAAACUAGCAUUUGUUUCUCAGAAUGUGUAACUAUUACACUGCAACUCUGCACAACCCUGCUGAUACACUGUAUGUAUGUUUUUUGUCCAUAUUAUGUCCAAAUUUAAAUGUAAAUUAGCAUGUAUUUCUGAAAUUACAAACAAAAUGACAUCAUGGUAGCCAUUUUACAGGCAUUAAGAAAAAAGAAUAUACUUAGAAACUAAUUACAUAGGGUGAGUUCAUUUUAAAUAUUAUAUUAUAGAACUAUUACUGUUACUAUCUACAUAAGAUAAAGUACUUUGAUACGAAAACUCACAUUUUUUAAUUUAACCAUGUAUCCUAUAUCAUGAAUACAUGACUUGCAUGUAACAAACCAUAGGGCUUCCCCUGACCAAUAUGGCGGCUGCAAUGACGCAUCACUCCAAUGAACAGCAGCACCCAAUGAGUUAUCUAUGUGUAUUGUUGCUUUCGCAUGCUCAUUGGAUGGUCCCAAGAAUUGCUUGAGUUGGGAAGUCGUUCUUUCGACUUUGGUGUGUUCAUGAGCUUUUAAGUUGUAAUGUGGAAACAACAUGGACGCUACAAAGGAGAUGUGUGGUAUUUUGUCUCUUGACUUGUUGCUGCACCAGUAAAUUCCCUAAAAACACUUAAAUAUUACUUAACCUGACUUGGUUUCAGGGUUAACUUUUCUAACUAAUCUAGGUCACUCUACGUGGACAGUAUUUAAUGGUUGC